rnacentral:siRNA from 1 species
CGUAAUCCCUCUAGGCCAGAAACC